rnacentral:rRNA from 1 species
AGAGUUUGAUCCUGGCUCAGGAUGAACGCUGGCGGCGUGCUUAACACAUGCAAGUCGAACGAUGAAGCCCAGCUUGCUGGGUGGAUUAGUGGCGAACGGGUGAGUAACACGUGAGUAACCUGCCCUUAACUCUGGGAUAAGCCUGGGAAACUGGGUCUAAUACCGGAUAGGAGCGCCUACCGCAUGGUGGGUGUUGGAAAGAUUUAUCGGUUUUGGAUGGACUCGCGGCCUAUCAGCUUGUUGGUGAGGUAAUGGCUCACCAAGGCGACGACGGGUAGCCGGCCUGAGAGGGUGACCGGCCACACUGGGACUGAGACACGGCCCAGACUCCUACGGGAGGCAGCAGUGGGGAAUAUUGCACAAUGGGCGCAAGCCUGAUGCAGCGACGCCGCGUGAGGGAUGACGGCCUUCGGGUUGUAAACCUCUUUCAGUAGGGAAGAAGCGAAAGUGACGGUACCUGCAGAAGAAGCACCGGCUAACUACGUGCCAGCAGCCGCGGUAAUACGUAGGGUGCGAGCGUUAUCCGGAAUUAUUGGGCGUAAAGAGCUCGUAGGCGGUUUGUCGCGUCUGUCGUGAAAGUCCGGGGCUUAACCCCGGAUCUGCGGUGGGUACGGGCAGACUAGAGUGCAGUAGGGGAGACUGGAAUUCCUGGUGUAGCGGUGGAAUGCGCAGAUAUCAGGAGGAACACCGAUGGCGAAGCCAGGUCUCUGGGCUGUAACUGACGCUGAGGAGCGAAAGCAUGGGGAGCGAACAGGAUUAGAUACCCUGGUAGUCC